AUUUCUUCAUAUUGCAUGUUUCUUCCAACGACAUAGUAACUAUGAUGUUGAGGAAAUAUUAGAAGCAUUUGAUUUGUUUCCAAAAAGUGCAAUACCUCGUCUAAUUAACAAAUCUCUCAUAAAUAUUUCAAAAUUCGAUGAAGUAGAUAUGCAUGAUUUGCUAGAGCAAAUGGGUAAGGAUAUUGUUAUUGAGGAAUGCAAACAGCCUGGA
rnacentral:misc_RNA from 1 species